rnacentral:rRNA from 1 species
AGCGAACGCCGGCGGCAGGCCUAACACAUGCAAGUCGAACGAACCCUUCGGGGUUAGUGGCGGACGGGUGAGUAACACGUGGGAACGUGCCUCUAGGUUCGGAAUAACUCAGGGAAACUUGUGCUAAUACCGAAUGUGCCCUUCGGGGGAAAGAUUUAUCGCCUUUAGAGCGGCCCGCGUCUGAUUAGCUAGUUGGUGAGGUAAAGGCUCACCAAGGCUACGAUCAGUAGCUGGUCUGAGAGGAUGACCAGCCACAUUGGGACUGAGACACGGCCCAAACUCCUACGGGAGGCAGCAGUGGGGAAUCUUGCGCAAUGGGCGAAAGCCUGACGCAGCCAUGCCGCGUGGAUGAUGAAGGUCUUAGGAUUGUAAAAUCCUUUCACCGGUGAAGAUAAUGACUGUAGCCGGAGAAGAAGCCCCGGCUAACUUCGUGCCAGCCGCCGCAGUAAUAC